rnacentral:rRNA from 1 species
GAUGAACGCUGGCGGCGUGCUUAACACAUGCAAGUCGAACGGAAAGGCCCUGCUUUUGUGGGGUGCUCGAGUGGCGAACGGGUGAGUAACACGUGAGUAACCUGCCCUUGACUUUGGGAUAACUUCAGGAAACUGGGGCUAAUACCGGAUAGGAGCUCCUGCUGCAUGGUGGGGGUUGGAAAGUUUCGGCGGUUGGGGAUGGACUCGCGGCUUAUCAGCUUGUUGGUGGGGUAGUGGCUUACCAAGGCUUUGACGGGUAGCCGGCCUGAGAGGGUGACCGGCCACAUUGAGACUGAGAUACGGCCCAGACUCCUACGGGAGGCAGCAGUGGGGAAUAUUGCACAAUGGGCGGAAGCCUGAUGCAGCAACGCCGCGUGCGGGAUGACGGCCUUCGGGUUGUAAACCGCUUUCGCCUGUGACGAAGCGUGAGUGACGGUAAUGGGUAAAGAAGCACCGGCUAACUACGUG